rnacentral:misc_RNA from 1 species
AUCUGGCUUACUGCGUUGGGCUUGCUCCUAAAUGGGAAAAAAUAACUGUAAAAUCAGGUCAUGGACGAUCAAAAUAUGGAGCUUGGCGUGUUUAUGCUGCAUCAGAUGCGGGCAGAAAACUGCCAGGUGGAUCACUUGUUAAAGACAUGGAGACCUCUUUUGAAGUACUAUCAGUGAAUGGUCUUGGGUGUUUUAAAGAGGUUUCUGACUUACAUAAAGAUGAAGAUAUAGUCAUAGUUCAAGAGAAAUCAGUCAUCGGUUGUGACUUGAAGAAAGAUGAGAUUUUGGUCAGGGCGAGCCCUCGGAGUGGAAGA